AAUGAUGUAGAAAUGAAGUAUUCCACAUCUAUGAAGUAUUCCACAUCUGGUUCCUAUUGACCGAUGUAGAAGGGAUGCACGAAUUCUUUUCUCGCUAACACACAAUACCUAUAGGGUUUUUAAGUGUGGGGCAAGGAGGCGACGUUCAUGCUCAUUGGGGUGUGGGGCGAGCACUACCUGGAGCUCAACCGCGACAACCUCCACCAGAAGCACUGACAGGAGGUCGCCAACGCCAUCAAUGACCUCCACAUCGGCAACGCUGGCAAGAAACUAUUAUGCACCGACAUCCAGUGCAAGAACCGCAUCGACACACUCAAAAAUAAGUACAAGCUCGAGAAGGCUAGGGUUUCCGAUUCCGACGCCGGCUACCGCAGCCCCUGGCCUUUCUUCCCCCGCCUCGACACCCUCAUCGGUGACACUUUCCCGCUCAAAAAAAUCUCCUCGCCAUCCGCCGCCACCAAACCGCCAUCGUCGGCCUGGAUGAUUUCCUCCCACCCUAUCGACCCCCGAUCCGUCACGCAGAAACAGCCAGCACCGAUUGUUACGCCGGCUGCCAAAGAGAACUUGCUCAAGCAAUCAGAGGUUCGAUGAGAUAUAUGAGAGAGUGAAGGGUAUGAAACAGAGACAAAUGGUGGAGUUGGAAAAGUAGAGGAUGCAGUUCGCUAAGGAUUUGGAAUAUCAGAGGAUGAAACUCUUCAUGGAAACACAGGUUCAGCUUCAGAAACUCAAGCGCACCAAGCAUUCUUCUGGAGCUGCCAUUGUCUAAGUGAAGUUUGUGCUCAAGAAGGCGAUAUUCAUCAAAGUAAAAUCACCCGAUUUUUUCGAUUACCUCACAUGUAGAGGAGGUGUAAUUGGACUCCGGUGUUGCUAAUGCAGCAGUACUAUUCUGUGUCUGAUGUGGUCUAAGCACUGCAGCAAGUGGCAUCGAGGAGGCAGCAUAGGGUUGUAGAUUCGACAAAGGCUGGCAAUAAGGAGUUUAGGAAGUUUGGUUCGGGGUUUAGGCAAGUGCACAGGUUUGAGGUUGCCAAGGAAGGUUAUAAUUCUAGUGUAGAGUCUUUUGGCCACAGGGUGAAUGCGGGAGGUCCAGAAAAAGGGAUUCAUGGGGCUGAAAAGAAUGGAGAACUUAAACCAGGUGACAAGGUUGGGACCAUGGAUGACAAGAGUUUAGCAUCCUUAGAGGAGACCAAAGGUAAAUAAUGGGUCUUUUUCGAAUAUAUGUAUCUUGGUUUUAGAUUAUGGCCUUGAUUGUGGAAACUGGAUUAAUCACGCUUAAUUGUUGUUGUGGACUGUAAUUUAGAAUUAAGUGUUAUUUUACAUGUUGAAUGUUGGAUAACUUGGUGAGUAUUGUUGUUGCGAUGUGCAAUGAUUUUACUCCAUAUGGUUCUUACAUAUGAGAGUUGUAUUACACUGAAUAUAGUAAUUAUAGAUUGAUUUUUC